rnacentral:rRNA from 1 species
GAUGAACGCUGGCGGCGUGCCUAAUACAUGCAAGUCGAGCGAACGGACGAGAAGCUUGCUUCUCUGAUGUUAGCGGCGGACGGGUGAGUAACACGUGGAUAACCUACCUAUAAGACUGGGAUAACUUCGGGAAACCGGAGCUAAUACCGGAUAAUAUUUUGAACCGCAUGGUUCAAAAGUGAAAGACGGUCUUGCUGUCACUUAUAGAUGGAUCCGCGCUGCAUUAGCUAGUUGGUAAGGUAACGGCUUACCAAGGCAACGAUGCAUAGCCGACCUGAGAGGGGAACGGGCAAAACGGAACCGGAGAAAGGGUCCAGCUCCUUAGGGGAGGAAGCAGUAGGGAAUCUUCGGAAAGGGGCGAAAGCCUGAGGGGGAACCGCGGGGGGAGUGAUGAAGGUCUUCGGAUCGUAAAACUCUGUUAUUGGGGAAGAACAUAUGGGAAAGUAACUGUGCAGACUUGGACGGUACUUAACAAAAAAGCACCGGCUAACUACGU